CUGAACCUACGGGAGGCAGCAGUGGGGAAUAUUGCACAAUGGGCGAAAGCCUGAUGCAGCAACGCCGCGUGAAGGAAGACGGUUUUCGGAUUGUAAACUGCUAUCAAUAGGGAAGAAAGAAAUGACGGUACCUAAAUAAGAAGCCCCGGCUAACUACGUGCCAGCAGCCGCGGUAAUACGUAGGAUGCGAGCGUUAUCCGGAUUUAUUGGGUUUAAAGGGUGCGCAGGCGGCGAGUUAAGUCAGCGGUAAAAUUUCGGGGCUCAACCCCGACGAGCCGUUGAAACUGGCUUGCUAGAGUGGGCGG
rnacentral:rRNA from 1 species